AGAGUUCAAUCCUGGCUCAGGAUGCACAUUGGCAGCAUGCUUAACACAUGCAAGUCGAACAAGAAGUGGUGUUUCCAGUGGCGGAUGGGUGAGUAACGCAUAAGAACCUACCCUUGGGAAGGGAACAAUAGCUAGAAACUGCUGCUAAUACCCCAUAUGUUGAGGAGCAAAAGGAGGAAUCCGCCUGAGGAGGGACUCGCGUAUGAUAAGCUAGUUAGUGAGGCAAUAAUUUACCAAGGUGAUGAUCAGUAGCUGGUUCGAGAGGAUGAUCAGCCACACUAGGACUAAGACACGGCGCAAACUUCUACAAGAGGCAGUAGUGGGGAAUUUUCUACAAUGGGUAAAAGCUUGACGGAGUAAUGCCACAUGGAGGUAGAAGGCCUACGGGUCGUGAACUUAUUUUCCUGGAGAAGAGGCAAUGACGGUAUCUAGGGAAUAAGCAUCGGCUAACUCUAUGCCAGCAGCCACGAUAAUAUAGAGGAUGCAAGCGUUAUCUGGAAUGAUUAGGCGUAAAGCAUCUAUAGGUGGCUUUUUAAGUCUGCUGUCAAAUCCCAAGGCUCAACCCUAGACAGGCGGUGGAAACUACCAAGCUAGAGUACGAUAGAGGCAGAGGGAAUUUUUGGUGGAGCGGUGAAAUGCGUAAAGAUCGGAAAGAACACCAAUAGUGAAAGCAUUGUACUAGGCUAACACCAACACUGAGAGACGAAAGCUAGGGGAGCAAAUGGGAUUAGAUACCUCAGCAGUCCUAGUCGUAAACGAUGGAUACUAGGCGUUAUGCGUAUCGACCCAUGCAGUGUUGUAGUUAACACGUUAAGUAUCCCGCUUGGGGAGUACAUUCGUAAGAAUGAAACUCAAAGGAAUUGAUGGGGGCCUACACAAUAGGUGGAGCAUGUGAUUUAAUUCGAUGCAAAGCGAAGAACCUUACCAGGGCUUGACAUGCCACGAAUCCUCUUAAAAGAGAGAGGUGCCUUCGGGAACACGGACACAGGUGGUCAUGGUUGUCGUCAGCUCGUGCCGUACAGUGUUAGGUUAAGUCCCACAACAAGUGCAACCCUCGUGUUUAGUUGCCACUGUUGAGUUUGGAACCCUGAGCAGAUCGCCGGUGAUAAGCUAGAGGAAGGUGAGGAUGACGUCAAGUCAUCAUGCCCUUUAUGCCCUAGGCGACACACAUGCUACAAUGGCCGGGACAAAGGGUCGCGAUCCUGUAAGGGUGAGCUAACCCUAAAAUCCCAUCCUCAAUUCGGAUUGUAGGUU
rnacentral:rRNA from 1 species